UGGGAGGAAGAAUGAGAGUGGGAGGUAGAGCGGGGCGGGGAGGGGGGAGAGAGAGGGGGAGACGACAUGUGGAAGUCAUUAGUGUGUGGGUCGUUCUCCACGGUAUGUUCGAAAAGGGAGGGAGAGCUGGGGCCGGAGGAAACGUUCUGGCUACGAUAAAGAGGAGAAAUACAGAUGUGGAGAAACACAGGGGACUCCGGGAAUGCGCUGUGGUGUGCAACUGAAUGCAUGGAUGCCGGAUCAAACAGAGGGCUGCCGGUCAGGAUAACACUGAGCAUGACACGGUUUUAAUCAGGCCCACUUCCUGCCUGAUUUUCCGGGGAGUGAGGGAGAAGGAGAGCGAGAGAUUAAAUGACAGCCUGGCGUUAAGACUUGACAUCUGGUACUGCUUAACAGCACAGAGAGAUGGAGUGCAAGAGAAGGAGGGAAGAACUUCCAGAGCGGAGUUUAGAAAGAGAGGGAGACCUGAAGAAGAAACAACGUGAAGGAUUUCAAAAAGUGGUUCAACAGACGUGUCCAUAUGUGACCCCCUGCAGAGCGAUGGUAGGGUCUCACUAGGAUCGGAGGGUCUCACUAGGUAUGAAACGAGAAAAGAACCAUUACCGACUUCUCUCGGUUGUAUUCCCCAAGGGGUCACUCCAACCCAUAUAUGGUCACACGUGUCCCUCCCUCUUCCUCCAUCUCUCCCUCUUUUUCCUUCCCUCUCUUUUUUUGCAAUAUCCCCUCCCUGAGUGCUCAGACAGUCUGUCCCGGUCGGUCGUCUGAGUGAAUGUGCCACGUCAAGCCUGGAUACUCUGCAAGGCCGGCAUGACCCGGACGGACAGCGAGGGGAGCAACACCCAGAAACACAACAGACAAUUGACAGAGAGGGGGGAGAAGAGGCGACACAGACGGGUGAAAAGAAAAUAAGUUUUGGGGUUUGAGAGGGGGGGGAUCCCUACUUCUUGAUGCCAAAAUGGAGGAGGAAGGAAGACAAAGAUCAGCGAACGUUACUGCCUACGGAAUGGCAGAGAGUCAAUGUCUUUGGGGCCUAAGACAGUCUGUCCGGCUCCGUCCUCCCAGUGUUCAGACUACCUGUUCAUUGUCAUACUGGUGUACAGUAGUCUGCACAUUGGUUAGACUGGGCAGGGAAGCACUUCUCUUCUAUUUGGGCAAACACUGGCUUUCAAGGAGGUUUCAUAGUGGGUUUGACUAUCUACACUCCACCACCGACCAUCUUCCACUGCCGUUUGCUCAUCUCUUUGCUUCGUCUUCUACUCUGUGUCUGUGUCGGGUAUCGGUUCCUAUUUUGUACUUUUUUAAUGUUCUGACUGCAUUUAAGACUUAUUUUACGUCGUGGAAUAAAUGUAUAUCAUUGGUUAAAAAAAAAUGAAGAAAAAAAGACCUAUAUAAUGUUAAAAAGGUCAGUCAGGUCUCAGACCAAUGUGUUCUAAUCUCCUUGAAACAGUCUGUUUACUAAGUGUACGGUAUAACAGCAAUAGAAGUGUGUAGGCUCCUGGAUCUUUACACAAAGAAUCCAGCCCCGACUCUGAUGCAGUAGAUGGGAGAGGGAGGAGCAGCAGAGGCUCCGUAGACUCAAACAGUCAUGCAAAGUGGUCAAUCCAUCAAGUCCUGCUUCAAAUACAAAAACGCAUCCUUCCAGUAUUUCAUUGGCGUUAGGUUGGGAGGUCACAGUAACAAUGUUGCCUAAAGAUACAGUCAAAGUCAGAGAUAAAUGAUAAUACUAUUAUAUUCUAACUCUGUGGUCAAACUAUUGUGUGGCAGAUGGUCUUCUGUCCAGUGUGUAUAAGCAGCUAAAAUAAUAUUUCACUGAUGAUAUAAUAAACCAACUAGAGGAGAGGUCUAGUGGUUUGGUGGGGCUAGUGGAUGAUGGUGUUAAAAAUAUGAAUAAGGUUUAUGUAUGUAAGGUUAUGUUACAGUAAAUUACUGUAUUGGGAGUUGUGUACUGUAUAGGGAAUCAUAUUUGAUUGGGUAGGGAUGCUACUGUAGGAUUAGCAAUGGUGGUGGGAACACGAUUAAUGUAAUAUUAGGGUGGCUGUGGAGUUGUAUUGGUGAUAGAUGGUUUGGAUAAUGAAGGGCUAUUGGGUUCAGAAACAGAGAGGGAGGAAUACUGCCAUUUAGGUUAUUUCUCCCCGCUGAAUCAUUGGAGGCUGAUGUUUGGAUUACAAAUGUGUGAUUUUCCUGCCAAGAAUGUGUGCAGUUUCAGAGAAACUGCCAACUGCCCCAAGAAAGAGAAGGGGGGGGGGGGGUCAGAGAGAGAGAGAGAAUAAAUAAAUAUACAGUAAGACGCCCAAGGAAAUAUGGAAAAAGGCUUGGUUGAAUGCAGUGGUGGGAUUAGUUAUACAUUACAUAUUACAAAAGUAAUGUGUUACUUUACAAUAUUACUUUGUGUGGAAAGUAAAGCAUUACUUUAUCAUGUACUUACAUGAAACAAAUCUAAAAAUCUCCCCGUUUGUUUGACUGUCAGAGGGAGCAUGGCGAGCCGUGAGCGCACUACCAAAAAUAGCUACUUACUAACUUGGGUUUUAUGUCUAGUUUCUCCUUUCAUCUGCGGCGCUGCUUUCCUGUUGCUAGUCUACAAGUGCUGCUUAAUUAGCCAUCUAUAAAUGUAAGCCAAAACAUCUGUACAGAUUUCUUAUCGUUUCAUUCAAAAUCUCUCUCGAGCCGCCAGUUCUGGUUAUAGACCGCACGUAAAAGGGCCCCAUAGAGAUGUACAGAGGGCACAAUUACCACUAGAUGUGAAAGCCCUCUAUGGGCUUUGCUAUCACAGAAGCGAUCGAUGGCAAAGAUCAGAGGUGCGUACUCUAUACAUAUCUAUGGACAGCAGCUGUUAUGACAUUUCUCCAAACAGCCUUUCUCCGCUCGCUCAAGAACUAAAUGAGGAAACAAGUCGGGAUUGGAUCAUGGAAACACGCAUCCAGUAGAGAUAUGAUUCUGAAAGUCCACGCACGUGUUGUUUGACAAAGUAACUAAUAUUACCCAUCCGUUACUCAUUAAAGUAAUCAGAUUACACAACGUGUUACUUUUGUCCCUAACACUGGUGGAAUGUCAGAGAUUCGUAAAACAACUACUGUAAAGUCAACGCGACAUGAGAACGUCUACGAUCCAUCGAGUUACCGUUUUGAAUUAUUACCUCAUCAAAUAAUGUGUCAUAAAGCCGAUGUGUGUAUUUGCAUGUGUGUGAGCAGUGGUUUUCUUUGGGAUGGUUCCAAUUGUGCAAAAGAAAACCAAAUGCCUUAACUCCCAGCAGAGAGGUGGAGAGACAGACAGAAGAGGGGAGAAACAAACAAAAAAACAGACAAAGCGAGCGAGACAAAGAGAGAGCGAUUUCUGUCCAGGGAAUUUAGCUGUGUAUCGACCACGUACUGUAUAUAGAGACGAUUUAAACCAUGUGGACUGCUUGUUACCCGUGUGAUGUCAUCUGCUGACCAGUGCAUGGAUUGGCUGACUCCGGGAGUUGCCGUGUGUCUGCCUGUCUACACUUGCUGUGCAGAACAUCCUGGAACCUGUACAGCAGGCACAGACAGGCAGACAGACACCAGCCCGUCAAGCUAUGAAUGACACAACAUCCAGCCAAUCAACGAGCACCCUGCAUCGCAAGGGGAAGAGCAACGUCACUGAAGAGCCAACGUGGAACCACCGUUGAGUUGUGAUUUAGUGGGUAGUCAGAAGGUAUGGUUUACAUUAUGUCCUCUACAAAGAUAUCCAACAAAAUACUUAUCACUUGGGAAUUGGCCAGAGAUUCAAAGCGCAUAUGUAUAUUUUACCAUUUGUUGACCUGCCCACCCUUCUGCCAGACAUUAAACAGAAAGGAGGGCUGUAUCAGGGGUAAUGGUGUUCCAAUCCACCAUCACCUGAAGUCUAGCCAUAAACUACAUCAGACUUACUGUGACUGACUAUACUAACUCACCCUGAAGAGGGUGGACUAACUCGCUCACCUCAUCAUCCUUGAACCAGGACAGACUCUCAGCGGUCAGGACAAACCAGUACUCCUUAGCCCCGCCUUUAAUUAUGCUGAUGUUGUUGAUGGUCAGCCAGCCCUUACGGAUUACCUGUAGAGAGAGCAGGGGGCAGAGGUUAGAGGUCAGGGGAUGAAAGAUGGGGUCAUAGUUGUGGUGGGUGGUGUGAUUGCCAGGAAGUAUGAGAGGUUUAAAAAAGCAACUGAAGAGUUAUCAUGUCCACACAGAAGCAUCAUCUACUGUACCUCAUCCUACUUCAAUCAUAGUCAGUCAAACCUGGCCAGCUAGUCUACUGCAUGUACCCAAACCGAUGUGCACAAAAGUGACGGAUGAAUAAUAAAAUGCAAUGAGAAAGUG